rfam:Corchorus olitorius cultivar O-4 contig15056, whole genome shotgun sequence.
GGAGGCUUAUGAUGUUAUGUCUAAUGACAAUUGCCUACAUUGCCUGAUUGUCUUGUGAAUGACAAAAUAAAAGUUCUGAAGCUUCC